AGUUGAGACUAGUGCUCACAGAACACCAGUGCUCACAGAAGGAAAAAUAAAUACCAGGGGUUGUUUUAAGGGUGUAUUAAUAUUAUUAUUAUAAUCAUUUACAAGCUACAUCUUGGAUUGGGAAGAGAGGUAAAUAUGGAAUUCUAUAUACUGCAGAUUGGGAAACAUGACACUGUAAGAUCACUGGGUAGUGUGUGUGUUUUUAAUCAAUAUGUUAAUCCAGAUCUAGGAUUGGCUUCUAGCGGGGGUAAGGCUAAGGGGGAGCUAUAUAUUUUAGACUUGUCACUUUAAAAUAUGCUCCCUUUCCCUGUAACAAAGUGGGAACAGGAUUAUAUUUUCAAAUGCAGGAUUAAAAAGAUAAAGUCUCCUUAACCCAUUCCCUAUCCCUUCUGCAGGAGAGAUUGACCCAGAAAAGACCGUGUACAUAUUUCCAUAUGUAAUUAUAAGAGCAGCACAUAUUCCUUUAUUUUGCAGUGAGUCAAGAAAUGACCAACUGCCCUGACUACACACAUUCUGUUAUAAUGGAGUUAAACCUAAUGGAUGAUAUCCAACAAAAUCGGAUUGAUUCUGUCAAUUUCAGUUCUCUCUGUUUCUCAUUUUCCCAGUCUUGAAUUCAGUUCUCCAUUUUUCUGCAGCAAUUUGUGAAUUAUUUUUGUUUUAAAAAAUCCUCAGCAAUUUAGUGUGAAUUGCUCCUAAUAAACAUAUUUUUAUAUACAAAUUUGACUAAUUACCUGUCAGGGAACUGACAUCGGAGCCAGAGGCGGAGGCUAGGCUCUCAAGCGAUGCUGGAAAAGCGCCCGGCAGGGGGAGAGGCAACUCACCAGCUGGGGAAGGAAAUCAGCGUAACACCAGGGAUAAAGGGGGCAGAUGGGGGAAUCGGCGAGGGGGCUCCAGGACUCUUCACCGGAGACCAGCGAGGAGAGCACGGGUCCUCCGCUACCCACACCCUCCCUGCGCAGAAGACUUCCGCGCAGGGAGAGUAGGAGGAGACUUGGGGUCAAACAGCUUUUAUGCUGGAAAAGGUUUAAGAAACGCCCACUGACGGAUUCUGCUAGCGACUGAACAGCCACAAAGUGAAGGGGCUGUCCAGACAGAAAAGGUUUAACAAGGCAACCUAGCCAGGAGUGGCACCAACUUACGCACGAGCAACCCCUACAUUUAUGACAUUACCCAUUUUGCAAGCAAUUUCUGUUAAUAUAAUACCGGUACAUUUUCAUAUGUAAUUUUCACAAAUAUGUUCAUUUUCAUGCACACGCAUGCAUUUUCAUGAUCAUUGGUUGGUUGGACAACGGUGUGGCAAAAUUUGGAUAAGUGUGAAUUUUGAAGGCUGGGUUGUGUUUUGAUUCUCAUAUUGUUUAAGAAAGUACAAAUUUGGUAUAUUCAGCUUUAAAUGUAAAAUGAAAUCAAUUCCUCCCCCAUCCCCAGAGUAGAACUAUUGAUAUCAAUGAAGUUAAUUUAGACAUUAUUGGUUAAGUAGAUGCUGUUUAUUAGAAUAUUUAUAGACCACCAAUUUAGAAAAAAAUAAAAUAAAUCAAGGUAGUUCAGUGGUGGUUCUCUUAUUUAAAUAGUAUGACUGAAUUACCAAGAUACCACCUGAUGAAUUUCGGUUUCUGUUUUUUGUUUUUUUAAAAGGUGCAAAAGCUUGCUUAUGCAUUGAGUCAGUUUUUCUUUAUUUCCAGGUUUAAAGACAACUGCUAAAUCUAACUAAUUUUUGCACACAUUUUUGUUUCAAAUAAAUACAUAUUUUACUAUAUAUAGUGAAAUGCAUAUAAUGUCUAAAAAUCUAUAAAAAUGCUGUAGUUAUAUGCUACUUUCUGCCUGCCAUACAACCUUUUCAGACAAAGUAUAGUAUAUCAACUUUCUUGUGACAAUAAGCAGACCUGUUAUCUUGGGGACAGCUAAAUGAAUUAUUUAAUCAAUAAGACUACAUCUCUGAUGAUAAGACAAGCUCAGACAAAUUAAAAUCUGAACCAGGUAUAGCAUGUCAGGAACAAGAAACAUAGGUAGUUUAAUACACAUUUUAAUAUUAAAGCAGACUUUUUUUAAAAAAAAGAAAGCAAAAUAAACAUCAAUCCUUUCUGUCUCCUGUUAUAGUGAUGUAAAUUUGAAGUUGGCUUGGGAAACCAAGCUAUGUUCAGUAAUUUGUUAUAUGUUUGCAGCAUGCAAACAUAAUGCCUUUUUAAUAAUGCAAGGUUUAUGAAGUAUAAAACCAGUGUACAAUACAAAGUUAGCAAGGUGACUUAGCAAGGGAUGAGACAUACAACUUUUAAAAAAUAGGAUUUAUUUAUAUGUGCAAAAACGACUCAUAAAGAUUUGGGGAAUUGAAGCUAGAUGAAGUUGUUAGUGGUGAUGGGAACAAUCCAGGGCAGUAAAAAAGGUAAAGGUAAAGGACCCCUGGGUGGUUAAGUCCAGUCAAAGUCAACUAUGAGGUGCAGUACUCACCUCGCUUUUCAGGCUGAGGGAGCCAGCAUUUGUCCACAGACAGCUUUCUGAAUCAUGUGGCCAGCAUGACUAAACUGCUUCUGGCGCAACGGAACACCGUGACAGAAACCAGAGCACACAGAAACACCGUUUACCUUCCCAUCACAGUGGUACCUAUUUAUCUACUUGCACUGGUGUGCUUUCAAACUGCUAGGUUGGCAGAAGCUGGGACAGAGCAAUGGGAACUCACCCCAUCGUGGGGAUUCAAACUGCCGACCUUCCGAUCAGCAAGCCCAGGAAGCCUAGUGGUUUAGACCACAGCGCCACCUGUGUCCCAGUAGAAUGAGUUGGAGGCAGUGGCAUAGAGUGAGUUGCUGGCAGUUGGGGUGGGGCAAGUGUUGCAUCCCCCUGGUAGACUGGGCAGCUUGGAGGCGGCACACCUAGGGGGACACACACCAGGGACUCACGCAUGGAGCCCACGUGGAGGAUGAAUGGAGCCUGCCUCUAAGAGGCUCCUUGCCUGCUGCCUCCAUCCACCUACCCACUAGACCAACCCACCUGCUUCCGUACCUCAGCUGCCAGGGCUUUGUGCCUGUUAUGGGGGUGCCGGAUUGUACCCACUCAGAAAUGUGCACCCAGGGCCAUGGCCCCCUGCCCUCCCAUGCUACGCCUCUGGCUGGAGGGCCACCAUCUUAAGAGUUCCAUUGCUGGCUGGGGCCAAAGACCCAUCUAGUCCAGCAUUAUCCUCUCACAGUGGUCAACCAGAUGUCUAUGGGAAGCCCACUAGCAGGGUCUUAGAACAACAGCACUCUCUCCACUUGUAAUUCCUCAUACAGUGGUACCUCGCUUCAGGUUACAGAUGCUUCAGGUUACAGACGCUUCAGGUUACAGAUGCUUCAGGUUACAGACUCUGCUAACCCAGAAAUAUUACCUCAGGUUAAGAACUUUGCUUCAGGAUGAGAACAGAAAUCAUGCUGUGGCGGUGUGGCGGCAGCAGGAGGCCCUAUUAGCUAAAGUGGUGCUUCAGGUUAAGAACAGUUUCAGGUUAAGAACAGACCUCCAGAACAAAUUAAGUUCUUAACCCGAGGUACCACUGUGACUUGCAUUCAGAGGAAUCCUUCCUCCAAUAAUGCAGAUAGAACAGCCAUCAUGGCUAGUAACACACAUUAACUCGUAUGUUUUUUUUAAAUUUUGGGUUGUUGUGUUGUGUUCUUUUUUUAAAAAGUAAGGGACAUAAGAUAUGCUUGGGAGGAGAGGAGCUGGGGAGAGCAGGGGUGACUCCAAUCACAGGGAAGGUAUGGUGUGGGGGUGGGGCAGGCUGGGUUAGGGGCACAUGACACAGACAAUUAGUGACUGUUCCAUGUGUCAACCCCUCCUUUAACCUGGGGAACGUCUGAAUGCCAGGGAAGCUCUGAGUAAGAUAUCCUUCAUCCAUGAUCUGGUUAUGGAUGAGGAGGAUAAUCUGGUCUAUAUCACUUGGUGCAGCACCAGGGCAGACUUGAGGGUGGGAGAGCGGGCGUGGCUGUAGCCUAUAGAGAUCCCAUCUCUCUCCAGGCUCUCUGCCCAGUUGGGUGGGUAGAUGGAAAUCUAGAGUGUGUGUUCCUGGCACUGGGGAACUGGGGUUUCAUUUUAGGAAAUCUUACUGAUAGUUCUGUUUGUAUUUUUUAUAUGUAAAGUGUGUAGUAAUUUUUAUUAUAUAAAUAAUAUAAUAUGUUUUUAUAGGUAAAGCACAAAGAGAUUAUAUG